UAUGUAGAAAGUAGCGGCGUUUAGCAUU
rnacentral:sRNA from 1 species